CCUACGGGGGGCUGCAGUGGGGAAUAUUGGACAAUGGGGGCAACCCUGAUCCAGCCAUGCCGCGUGUGUGAAGAAGGCCCUCGGGUUGUAAAGCACUUUCAGUGAGGAAGAACGCCUGGUGGUUAAUACCCAUCAGGAAAGACAUCACUCACAGAAGAAGCACCGGCUAACUCCGUGCCAGCAGCCGCGGUAAUACGGAGGGUGCGAGCGUUAAUCGGAAUUACUGGGCGUAAAGCGCGCGUAGGUGGCUUGAUAAGCCGGUUGUGAAAGCCCCGGGCUCAACCUGGGAACGGCAUCCGGAACUGUCAAGCUAGAGUGCAGGAGAGGAAGGUAGAAUUCCCGGUGUAGCGGUGAAAUGCGUAGAGAUCGGGAGGAAUACCAGUGGCGAAGGCGGCCUUCUGGACUGACACUGACACUGAGGUGCGAAAGCGUGGGUAUCAAACAGGAUUAGAUACCCUUGUAGUC
rnacentral:rRNA from 1 species